ACUUCCGCUUCUCUCCCAGCGAGAGAGAGACACGAGUGGCCAGGCCCAGCCGCAGCCGCAGCAGCAGCCGCCGCGGCGGCACGGAGGAGCCAGACACAAAGAGAGGGGCUGUUUGCGGGGUGGGGUGGGGGGUUCGCUAUGUCGGAUGACGAUUCGAGGGCCAGCACCAGCUCCUCCUCAUCUUCGUCUUCCAACCAGCAAACCGAGAAAGAAACAAACACCCCCAAGAAGAAGGAGAGUAAAGUCAGCAUGAGCAAAAACUCCAAACUCCUCUCCACCAGCGCCAAGAGGUUUGGUUUGAUUGUACAGCUUCUCAGAGGCCUAACUGACCCUCACUGAUUAGCCCUGUGCGGUUUUCCUGGAACCUGACAUCUACUCUGCCCACUUGGGACGGGCCCUUCCUUAAUACUGCGCCCCACCUCAAUCCUCUA
rnacentral:sRNA from 1 species